rnacentral:tRNA from 1 species
GGGUCGAUGCAAUUUGCAAGUUUNNGUUGGUAGAGCAGUUGGCUUUUAACCAAUUGGUCGUAGGUUCGAAUCCUACACGACCCACCA